rnacentral:rRNA from 1 species
GACGAACGCUGGCGGCGUGCUUAACACAUGCAAGUCGAACGGAAAGGCCCUGCUUUUGUGGGGUGCUCGAGUGGCGAACGGGUGAGUAACACGUGAGUAACCUGCCCUUGACUUUGGGAUAACUUCAGGAAACUGGGGCUAAUACCGGAUAGGAGCUCCUGCUGCAUGGUGGGGGUUGGAAAGUUUCGGCGGUUGGGGAUGGACUCGCGGCUUAUCAGCUUGUUGGUGGGGUAGUGGCUUACCAAGGCUUUGACGGGUAGCCGGCCUGAGAGGGUGACCGGCCACAUUGGGACUGAGAUACGGCCCAGACUCCUACGGGAGGCAGCAGUGGGGAAUAUUGCACAAUGGGCGGAAGCCUGAUGCAGCAACGCCACGUGCGGGAUGACGGCCUUCGGGUUGUAAACCGCUUUCGCCUGUGACGAAGUGUGAGUGACGGUAAUGGGUAAAGAAGCACCGGCUAACUACGUG